UGGGGAAUAUUGGACAAUGGGCGCAAGCCUGAUCCAGCCAUGCCGCGUGAGUGAUGAAGGCCUUAGGGUUGUAAAGCUCUUUCGUUGGGGAAGAUAAUGACGGUACCCAAAGAAGAAGCCCCGGCUAACUUCGUGCCAGCAGCCGCGGUAAUACGAAGGGGGCUAGCGUUGUUCGGAAUUACUGGGCGUAAAGCGCACGUAGGCGGAUGUUUAAGUUAGGGGUGAAAGCCCAGGGCUCAACCCUGGAAUUGCCUCUAAUACUGGACAUCUUGAGGCCGAGAGAGGUGAGUGGAACUCCGAGUGUAGAGGUGAAAUUCGUAGAUAUUCGGAAGAACACCAGUGGCGAAGGCGGCUCACUGGCUCGGUACUGACGCUGAGGUGCGAAAGCGUGGGGAGCAAACAG
rnacentral:rRNA from 1 species